rnacentral:pre_miRNA from 1 species
UGGAGGAACAACCCCAGUGGCUGAGGCAGCUCUGGAAACCUGGAUUCAGCCCCAGCAGGAACUCCAUAGCUUUCCGUCUGCAGGACCUGGAAGCUCCGGUGCAGG